UAGGUGGAUAGUGGCGACGGGUGAGUAACACGUGGGCAAUCUGCCCUGCACUCUGGGACAAGCCCUGGAAACGGGGUCUAAUACCGGAUAAUACUGUGCCCCUCAUGGGGGAUGGUUGAAAGCUCCGGCGGUGCAGGAUGAGCCCGCGGCCUAUCAGCUUGUUGGUGGGGUGAUGGCCUACCAAGGCGACGACGGGUAGCCGGCCUGAGAGGGCGACCGGCCACACUGGGACUGAGACACGGCCCAGACUCCUACGGGAGGCAGCAGUGGGGAAUAUUGCACAAUGGGCGAAAGCCUGAUGCAGCGACGCCGCGUGAGGGAUGACGGCCUUCGGGUUGUAAACCUCUUUCAGCAGGGAAGAAGCGAGAGUGACGGUACCUGCAGAAGAAGCGCCGGCUAACUACGUGCCAGCAGCCGCGGUAAUACGUAGGGCGCAAGCGUUGUCCGGAAUUAUUGGGCGUAAAGAGCUCGUAGGCGGUUUGUCACGUCGGGUGUGAAAGCCCGGGGCUUAACCCCGGGUCUGCAUUCGAUACGGGCAGACUAGAGUGUGGUAGGGGAGAUCGGAAUUCCUGGUGUAGCGGUGAAAUGCGCAGAUAUCAGGAGGAACACCGGUGGCGAAGGCGGAUCUCUGGGCCAUUACUGACGCUGAGGAGCGAAAGCGUGGGGAGCGAACAGGAUUAGAUACCCUGGUAGUCCACGCCGUAAACGUUGGGAACUAGGUGUUGGCGACAUUCCACGUCGUCGGUGCCGCAGCUAACGCAUUAAGUUCCCCGCCUGGGGAGUACGGCCGCAAGGCUAAAACUCAAAGGAAUUUGACGGGGGGUCGC
rnacentral:rRNA from 1 species